ensembl:snoRNA small nucleolar RNA, H/ACA box 50C
GCGCUGCCUUUGAGCCCCCGUUGCGCCUGCGCGUGGCGCCGGGGGUCAGGCUGCAGCGCCAGAGUACUGCGCUUGCGCAUAACUGGGGCCGCCUGGUUCCCCCCGCCGGCGGCCCUUUUAACCGCGAGCUACAGAG